rnacentral:lncRNA from 1 species
CUGCUGGUGACCCGCAACCUGAGCCGUUACUGCUGGGUCACGUCACCCCUGUCGCCGUUGGACCUUUUGUCUUCUAGCGCUGAUUGAAGUUAUAAUGUCAAGCUGCACACCAGACCUGCCUCAAACACAGCUUUGACGUCAAGAGCCCUUCCUCUCAAUACAACUGCUUGUCCUCCAGCUUCUGAAAGCCACUAUGUGAGGAUCUCAUCGCGCUGCACAAGGCGUUAACUGUGGAAGCCUUGGAACCUCCCAGGGACUGAGGAGCAAAAGGAUCUGUGAAGCUUCACUCUUCUGGCCACAGAUAUACUGGCAUCGGAUAAGAAACCGGCUGGCGAGUCUUACCCUAAUUCUCCUCUCUCUGCCUGUGGGGAAUUGGUGCAUUCCCGAUGCCCUGCCUGCUCCUCCAUCUCCUCCCCCGCAAGGGAAUUUGUGCCCCACCAGCCCCGAUUAAAGAGGCACAGUGAGGUCAAGCAGGUGAUGUGAUGCAUCAUCACAGCCUUCAGGGUGGACAUGAGAGAGACUCAGCUCCCUGCUGACCACAAGAUUGCAGCUGCUACUUAGAUGCACCUGAG